rnacentral:rRNA from 1 species
AGAGUUUGAUCCUGGCUCAGAGCGAACGCUGGCGGCGUGCUUAACACAUGCAAGUCGUACGCGCAGUUUUCUGUAGCAAUACAGGAGGCGGGCGCGUGGCGAACGGGUGCGUAACACGUGGGCAACCUGCCCUCAUGUGGGGAAUAACCCAGCGAAAGUUGGGCUAAUACCGCAUAACAUUCCGAUGACUGCUGUUGUUG